rnacentral:rRNA from 1 species
UACGUAGGGUGCGAGCGUUAAUCGGAAUUACUGGGCGUAAAGCGUGCGCAGGUGGUUGUGUAAGUCAGAUGUGAAAUCCCCGGGCUCAACCUGGGAACUGCAUUUGAGACUGCACGGCUAGAGGAUGGCAGAGGGGGGUAGAAUUCCACGUGUAGCAGUGAAAUGCGUAGAGAUGUGGAGGAAUACCGAUGGCGAAGGCAGCCCCCUGGGCUAUUUCUGACACUCAUGCACGAAAGCGUGGGGAG